UGAUUUUAUUCUGUGAACUGCCCUGAGACCGCUGGGUAUAGAACUGUACAGUGGUACCUCGGGUUACAUAAGCUUCAGCUUACAGACGCUUCAGUUACAGACUCCGCUAACUCAGAAAUAGUACCUCGGGUUAAGAACUUUGCUUCAGGAUGAGAACAGAAAUCGUGCGGUGGCGGUGCGGCAGCAGCGGGGGGCCCCAUUAGCUAAAGUGGUGCUUCAAGUUAAGAACAGUUUCAGGUUAAGAAUGGACUACCGGAACGAAUUAAGUACUUAACCCGAGGUACCACUCUAUAUAAAUUCAAUAAAUAAUAACAUCAGUUGUCUCAUUCUACAUGAUUUACUAUAUAAAUGAAAGGAAAAAUAGUAUCAAACAAUGUGAUACACAGUUGUUAGGUGGUUUAGUGACAUUUUAUACAAAUUCCAGCAAGCAAACCUUAGCCUGAGAUCAUAAGCCACUGCCAACUCCAGGCUUAGAUGGAGCAUUGGUCUGAAGACUCCUCAGAGACUCAGAGAGUGGUCUCUGGCCAACAAAAGCUUAUAAUGUAACAAGUAUGUAAAAUAGCCCUGUAUCAGUGAUUCCCAAACUUGAAAAUUGCUGAGUGUGUUGGUGGACCACUUAAAAUAGUUUUUCUGCCCAUUGCAGCAAUUGUAACGCAUUUGUGUUAGAUGCCAUAUGCAUUUUAAUUUUAUUGCUUCUAUUUUGAUAUGUUUGCUUCCUUUCACUUGUUUUCCUGGCUCCUAAUCUUCUCCACUCCUUUUAAAUCUCUCCCUCCUGCUCUUCUGUAUUCUUAAUCCUCCCCACUCCUUUUAAAUCACUUCCUCUUGCUUAAGAUCCUAAUCCUCUUCAUUUCUUUCAAGUCCCCUUCCCUUGCCAGAGGAUUGCUGGGUUCUCAGAAUGAGCAGCUGCUGCACCCACUGUUCUUCACAGCCAUGCUGUGGACCACCUGAGUGAUGCUCAUAGAACUCUUGCACUCAACUCUAUUGUUUAUGAUGUCCCCUUGGAAUACUCUGGGCCACUGUGAGAAUAUGUCUCCCAGCCCCAGCUGCCCAGGACUGAUAAGGGCCCUGCUACUCUGAUGUAAGCCUGCCAGAGUUCUCAUGAACAUGGAAAUAGGGCCAUGAGGUUUUUUUCAUUGAGGGCCUCCCUCAAAUCUAGAACCAGCUCUGCUAAGAUCAGCCAGAGUUUGCACCAGAGUCCACUUCCUCUUUUUAGCACCUCAAUGCCCAGCAGUCUCCUCGCCUGAGCUCAGAGCUGGCAUUGAGGACUCCCAGACUGCUGUUUCUGGGCAACUUCAGCAUCCAUGCCAUGGCGAUUUGCUCCCCAUUUGUGAAUGCUCUCUAUACAGAGUAUCACCUGGCACCUUCAUUACAUAUCUUUAGAUGCCAGGAACGUAUAUCUCAACUAGGUAUUUUCUCUUCAACCAUGGCUUUUUAAAUGGUUUUUUUUGGGGGGGGGGCUAUUGGUUUGUUUUUCAUGUAUUAUGUAUUUUGAAUUCUAAUUUUGUAUUUUUAUGUUGUGAACCACCCUGUGACCUUUGGAUGAAAGGCAGUAUACUGACUAAAUAAAUAAGACAAGGAGGAAGUAGAAGAUGGGGAUUGUAUCAUGUUCAAGAACAUGUACUAUUCAUAACCAGCUACCCACCCAGAUAUGUGGUUUUCAAGCUGGCUACCUCUCUUCUCACACACAUCCAUUCUUGUUCCAUAGGAAUUUCAAGUCUAUAUACAUUUGAUGUACACAAUUUGCUUACCAUAUCAUUGAUGCUAAUACAUACUAGUAACUUUUACUAACUUCACAGCUUGGGCCCUGCUUUGGGUGUUUCACGAAACCAAGUGAAGUGAGAGAUGGCAUUUUCAGCAGUGACAGCACCCUAGUUAUGGACUAGCCUUCACAGAGAGAUUAGCUUGGCACCAUCACUGUGGUCUUUUCAGAUUCAGGUGAAGAUCUUUCCGAUAGCCUAAAUUAUCUAAAAGCCCUAGGUAAUCUGGGCGUAUUACACACACACACAGCUUUUUUUCUGGGGAUACGCAGGGGUACAAUUACCCCUAAACGUUUUGUGAAUCUUUGUACUUUUGUCCAUUUAAUGUAUUUAUUUUUCCCGAUUUGAACUAUAAAAUGGUGAUUUUCUUGAGUCAAAAUGAGAGUACUAUUUCAAUUGUUUUUUGACAUUUAUUGCUAAGUUAACCAGAGAACUAUGUUGUUGGGCCACACAUAAACACAAUAAAAAUAAGUUUCUGUACUGUGAAACCGAUUCCAGUAGGAAUGCAAUUAUGAAUGGGGCAUAAUUUGAGGCUUUUAAUGGGAAAAUAAAUGAGUGAUGAGAUAGUUAAAACCCUAGGUCUUUGUUUAUAUGCAUUUUUCUGCCUAAGGCCCUCAUUUCAUAUAUGGAUAUGUGGUACGAGAAUGAAUGUAUUUUGUACAUGGGAAUAGCUUCCAGUAGACAAAGCUAAACUUAGAAAGCAACUCUAAUAUAGUACAAAUUUCCAGCUGGUUCCAAGGCAAACAAUGCAGGUAUAAGCUCUAAAUUUUACUUUAACAUAAAAUUAGAAUACAC